rnacentral:rRNA from 1 species
GAUGAACGCUAGCGGCAGGCCUAACACAUGCAAGUCGAGGGGUAGCAGGAUUAAGCUUGCUUAAUUGCUGACGACCGGCGCACGGGUGCGUAACGCGUAUGCAACCUACCUUAUACUGGGGUAUAGCCCGGAGGAAUUCGGAUUAAUCCACCAUAGUACUAAUGAAUCGCAUGGUUUAUUAGUUAAAGCAUUGCGGUAUAAGAUGGGCAUGCGUCCUAUUAGCUAGAUGGUGAGGUAACGGCUCACCAUGGCUACGAUAGGUAGGGGGCCUGAGAGGGUGGUCCCCCACACUGGUACUGAGACACGGACCAGACUCCUACGGGAGGCAGCAGUGAGGAAUAUUGGUCAAUGGGCGCAAGCCUGAACCAGCCAUGCCGCAUGCAGGAAGAAUGCCCUAUGGGUUGUAAACUGCUUUUAUUUGGGAAUAAACCUCUUUACGUGUAGAGAGCUGAAGGUACCAAAUGAAUAAGCACCGGCUAACUCCGUGCCAGCCGCCGCUGUAA